GCGGUCGUGGUGAAGUGGUUAACACACUGGAUUGUGGCUCCAGCACGCGUGGGUUCGAUCCCCACCGAUCGCCCCA
rnacentral:tRNA from 1 species